rnacentral:rRNA from 1 species
UAUGCAUCUCGACAGUUGCAUCCACAUGAGGAGAAUUAUCCUACACAUGAUCUAGAGCUUGCAGCCGUAGUCUAUGCACUCAAGACCUGGCGACAUUACCUACUUGGUAAACCUUGCGAGAUCUACACCGAUCACCAGAGUCUCAAGUAUAUCUUCACCCAACCGGAUCUGAACCUUAGGCAAAGACGUUGGUUGGAGUUGAUCACAGAUUAUGAUCUAGGGAUUACCUACACCCCAGGCAAAGCCAAUGUCAUGGCUGAUGCUCUAAGCCGUAAAUCCUAUUGCAACAAUCUCAUGUUGCAGCAAGGCCAACCACUUCUCCAUGAGGAAUUUUGUAAGCUUAACCUUCACAUAGCUCCUCACGGAUUCCUUUCUACCCUGGUGGCGAAACCUGAUCUUGAAGAUCGGAUUAUCGCUGCUCAAAAGCAAGACACAGGAAUUUCUCAGAUCAAGAGAAACAUUAAGAAGGGAGUUGGUGGAUGUUUCUCUAUGGAUGAUCGUGGUGUUGUUUUCUUUGAGAAUCGUUUGGUGGUUCCCAAGAAUCAACAUCUGCGACAAUUGAUCCUUAAGGAGGCGCAUGAAUCUCCUCUCACGAUUCAUCCCGGUAGUACUAAGAUGUAUCAG